rnacentral:rRNA from 1 species
UACGAAGGGGGCUAGCGUUGUUCGGAAUUACUGGGCGUAAAGCGCGCGUAGGCGGUGAUCUUUGUCAGAGGUGAAAGCCUGGGGCUCAACUCCAGAAUUGCCUUUGAAACGGGAUUGCUUGAGUCCGCGAGAGGAUGGCGGAAUUCCUAGUGUAGAGGUGAAAUUCGUAGAUAUUAGGAAGAACACCGGUGGCGAAGGCGGCCAUCUGGCUCGGUACUGACGCUCAGGCGCGAAAGCGUGGGGAGCAAACAGG